GUCCAGGGGUCCCUGAGGGAGGCCAGCACAAGAGCUCUGCCAUAAAAGGACAUUGGACAGGAGUGAAGAGUCCAAUCAGAAACUCUUUUUGAGAGAUUGAACGCAAAGCAUUCAGAGAGUCAGCAGGCUGCAGAGGCCAAGACACACACAGGAAGAAGGCAGGACACUCUUCUCCUCCUGCCGUUGGACUCCAGGCUCUAUGACCUUCAAACUCCAGGACUUACACCAGCCGCCCCUGGGCACUCAGGACUUCUGCCUCAAACUGACAGUUGCAGGACAGUGCAGCAUUUUAUUUUAAAGAUACCCCACAAUGUAGGCGGCCGGUCCUGCUGCAGGGCAGAUACGCUCCCUUGAUUCUGAGGUCUUUGAACUUGCCUUGAAGCCACACUGCCUGCAUCCCAGGGUCUCCAGCUUGCAGAUGGACUGUGGUGGGACUUCUCAGCCACCAAGAUUGAGAGCUGUACUAGCCUGGCAUGCAGACAGCAGCUUGAGAAUCAGAUCUGCCUUCUGGCGGCUUCCCACCUAGGAGCCAUGAGACCUUUGUGAAGUCACCAAUUGUGCUGUGGAUGCUUCAUUUGUGAAGGAGAACAGGACUGCCUUGUGAAGUUACAGAUGGUGCUAAUAAAACAUAUCAAUAAUUUGAAUUUCACUUUUGUGGAUGCUUUAAACAUCAUAGUCAGUAGAAGGUGGAUCUGGCUGAUUGUACUUUAAAUUUUCAGUUUGGGCUGUAGCUUUGUAUUAUAACAGGAGGGUACUGGACAAGAGGAGGAAACUAAGCUACAGAAGGGAAACUUGCUCAAGUUCACACAGCAAUUAAGUGGUCAAGUCCAAGAGCAAAACCAGGCAGGCUGGCUCCAGAGCUCACAAUAGCCCACCACUGCUUUCCACUAUCACUACAGAAUCAAGUCCAUGAGGAUACUCACCUUAUGUCAGUUGCCUAAGUUGGAAAUUAUAGAAUUUUCAAAUUGGAAGUGACCUUAUCGUCCAAGAUUUCAACUUUCUAGUCACUGCAAAAUCCCUUCUGGAGCUUCCCAGAUUGAUGAAUUUUCAUCAGCUCUGCUUGAGUACUCCCAGUGACUUGGAAAAAAAAACACUGUAAUAUGGAUAUGAAAUAUAAACUGUUCAUGGAUAAAUUAUUGCAUAAUAAAAACAUGCCUAAUGGCUACACUCCCCUAA
rnacentral:lncRNA from 1 species